ACUACGGGAGGCAGCAGUGGGGAAUAUUGCACAAUGGGGGAAACCCUGAUGCAGCGACGCCGCGUGAGCGAUGAAGUAUUUCGGUAUGUAAAGCUCUAUCAGCAGGGAAGAAAAUGACGGUACCUGACUAAGAAGCACCGGCUAACGACGAGCCAGCAGCCGCGGUAAUACGUAGAGGGCAAGCGUUAUCCGGAUUUACUGGGUGUAAAGGGAGCGUAGACGGCGGUGAAAGCCAGAUGUGAAAGCCCGGGGCUCAACCCCGGGACUGCAUUUGGAACUGUGGGGCUGGAUUGUCGGAGAGGCAGGCGGCAUUCCUAUUGUAGCGGUGCAAUGCGUCGAUAUUAGGAGGACCACCAGUGGCGAAGGCGGCCUGCUGGACGAUGACUGACGUUGAGGCUCGAAAGCGUGGGGAGCAAACAGGAUUAGAUACCCUAGUAGUC
rnacentral:rRNA from 1 species